UCCUGGAGGCCGACUAUGCAGAAAGUUUUAGCACAGGGCCUGUGCUAAAACAUGACACAUACAGAGCACUACAAAGAUCGAUUUUUUAUUAUUACAUUGUUAUUGUUACUCCAUGAGAAUGGGGACCUAGUUUGUCUUAGUCACUGCUGUAUGACCAGUGCCUAGGGUGCAAUAGAUGCUCAAUCAAUACUUGUUAAAGGAAUGACGAAUGACCACAGGCUAGGACCUUGCCCUCGGGGAUGCACAGCAGGUCCUCUGCAGCAUCUGGACUGCCAGCUGUUGCCAUGACUACCAUCUGGCUGGUACCUGCUGAGCCUAAGUCUGGGGGAACAGGGAGGAGAGAAGCGGGCUCUGCAGGGCUCAAGCUUGGUGUCAGCCACUCCCCAGGCUCCAGCUGUGAGCGUCCAGGCGCCCCACCUAGGGCUUGGACCACCAGCCUGAAAGCCAGUGCCUUGGAUAAGGUUUCUCCAAUAAUGCUCUUGCAAGUGAAUGUGAUCUGUGGGUUUUGCAGUGGAGUUAAAAGCAUGAGUUCUGCAGUUACA